GUUCCUGGCUCAGGAUGAACGCUAGCUACAGGCUUAACACAUGCAAGUCGAGGGGCAGCAUUUUAGUUUGCUUGCAAACUAAAGAUGGCGACCGGCGCACGGGUGAGUAACACGUAUCCAACCUGCCGAUAACUCUGGGAUAGCCUUUCGAAAGAAAGAUUAAUACCGGAUGGCAUAGGAUUAUCGCAUGAUAAUCCUAUUAAAGAAUUUCGGUUAUCGAUGGGGAUGCGUUCCAUUAGGUAGUUGG
rnacentral:rRNA from 1 species